rnacentral:rRNA from 1 species
UACGUAGGGUGCGAGCGUUGUCCGGAAUUAUUGGGCGUAAAGAGCUCGUAGGCGGUCUGUCGCGUCGGUCGUGAAAACUUGGGGCUUAACCCUGAGCUUGCGGUCGAUACGGGCAUGACUGGAGUUCGGCAGGGGAGACUGGAAUUCCUGGUGUAGCGGUGAAAUGCGCAGAUAUCAGGAGGAACACCGGUGGCGAAGGCGGGUCUCUGGGCCGAUACUGACGCUGAGGAGCGAAAGCGUGGGGGAGCAAACAGG